rnacentral:lncRNA from 10 species
GCCAGGAGAUAGAAUUUAUAAGACCUGAUAGCUAAUCGCUGACUCUUAAGAUUGUGAAGUGGAUUCCUUUGCAGAUUACUUUGGGGAGAAGGUAGGGGGAGUACAGAGGAAGCUUCUCCCUUCAUGGAUUCCUCAGCUCCUGUCUCAGCAUACUCAGGAACUUCCAGAGGAGCGGCAAAGGAAUCUGGUGAAUUCUGUUUCUUUGUAUUUGCUAACCAAAAGGCUGUCUCCUGGCAUCACCCCAGUGUCUGUGAUGUUCAGCUGUUUUUCCAGUUUCUGAAAUCAGUGCCUGUGCUGUACCCAGCCCUCAUCUUUCUUUCCCUCUCCAUCUCCCAUCUUUUAUCAUGAGCUGCCUCUUGGACUAAAGGUUUGAGGCUCGUUCAGUGAACCGCCACUGACAGUUUGGGCCUUGCAUUGCUUCGGGGGGCACGUCUGAUCUUCCCAGAGUAAACAUUGGUCAUUUUACCUGGACUAAUGCCAGCACACACCCGUGUCUGGGUGGCCUUUCUGGUCAUUCUUGGAAGCAGGAUGGAGCCACGGUUUCUGCUGGGGUGGAUCUGUAGGGGAGCGGGUUUGGAAAGCAGUGGGUUGCAUCUCUAAGGUGGGGACUCCUGUCAUUGGCUCAGGACAUUGAGCCACUAUCGUGGGGAGGAGCACCUGCAAGUGACAGGAGCCUCCUCAUCCUUGCCCUGAGCAGCUCUGACCAGGACUCAGUCACAGAAAGUAAGAGAGCAUUGAGGAGCCGGGGCAGCUCUGUGAACUGGGAG